rnacentral:rRNA from 1 species
UACGGAGGAUGCGAGCGUUAUCCGGAUUUAUUGGGUUUAAAGGGUGCGUAGGCGGGAUAUUAAGUCAGCGGUGAAAGUUUGAGGCUCAACCUUAAAAUUGCCGUUGAAACUGGUGUUCUUGAGUAUAAAUGAAGUGGGCGGAAUUUGUGGUGUAGCGGUGAAAUGCAUAGAUAUCACAAGGAACUCCGAUUGCGAAAGCAGCUCACUAAGCUAUAACUGACGCUGAUGCACGAAAGCGUGGGUAUCGAAC